AGAACGAACGCUGGCGGCAUGCCUAACACAUGCAAGUCGAACGGGACCUUCGGGUCUAGUGGCGCACGGGUGCGUAACGCGUGGGGAUCUGCCCUUAGGUACGGAAUAACUCAGGGAAACUUGAGCUAAUACCGUAUAAUGACUUCGGUCCAAAGAUUUAUCGCCUAGGGAUGAACCCGCGUAGGAUUAGCUUGUUGGUGAGGUAAAGGCUCACCAAGGCGACGAUCCUUAGCUGGUCUGAGAGGAUGAUCAGCCACACUGGGACUGAGACACGGCCCAGACUCCUACGGGAGGCAGCAGUGGGGAAUAUUGGACAAUGGGCGAAAGCCUGAUCCAAGCAAUGCGCGUGAGUGAUGAAGGCCUUAGGGUUGUAAAGCUCUUUACCCGGGAUGAUAAUGACAGUAACCGGAGAAUAAGCUCCGGCUAACUCCGCGCCAGCAGCCGC
rnacentral:rRNA from 1 species